GCGAACGUAGUUCAGUGGUAGAACAUCACCGUGCCAAGGGGGGGGUCGUACGUUUCAAUCCCGUCGUUCGCU
rnacentral:tRNA from 1 species